GUGGUUCAGUACGUUGAAAUCAUCUUCUCGGAAUAAAACAGCCUCAGCCGCCUUUUCGUACAGAACUUUUGACAUUUUCAUAAUCUUUUCGGAAAUCCUGUAGAUCGGGACAUAAAAAAAUAGAAAUCAUGAACCGGCGUAUAAGCGAAGUUGCUAGAUGUAAUCGUACGAUGGCUUUCGCAACACAAGGUCAAAAACGCAACUUCUGAAGCCGGAUGAUCCUUAUGGAACAGACCCCGUUUAAAUCCUGCGACGCAUUGGAGAUCCUUAAAUUGACGCGCUCGUGCGAUUGUAGUGUAAAAUGUUUCGAGUGAAAUCCGCAGAUUUUUACGAAUACAGAAAUUCUUCCGAA